rnacentral:rRNA from 1 species
UACAGAGGGUGCAAGCGUUAAUCGGAAUUACUGGGCGUAAAGGGCUCGUAGGCGGCCAACUAAGUCAGACGUGAAAUCCCUCAGCUUAACUGGGGAACUGCGUCUGAUACUGGAUGGCUUGGAUUCGGGAGAGGAAUGCGGAAUUCCAGGUGUAGCGGUGAAAUCCGUUGAUAUCAUGGGGAACACCAAAAGCGAAGGCAGUACAUUGGGCCACACCUGACACUGAAACACGAAAGCGUGGGUAGCGAAUAGG